CCAGAAUAAAAAGAAGGCACUCUGGUCAAGUAUUGUUCAAAAGUAUGUGUAUACACCACUGAAUAUUUUAAAUAGACACAAAUUGAAUAUUAAACCAAACAAAUCAGUAACACAAAGAUUGUUCUUUUAAUAAUUUGUCAGAUGAAUGCAAACACUAUAUUAGUAAACCGAAAUCAGUCAAGUACCUGUUCGUUCCCCACAAUAUAUAUUCUAUGUCAAUGUUUUUUUUCUAUUCUAAAAUCUCGGAAACGAGAAGGAUCACUAACCGCUUUUGAUAUGUAUUUUAAAUAUGCACACUUCCUGUUUCCUGUUUUAUUCUUCGAACACAAUUUUAUUGGUUUAAAUUUAAAUCUACCUCGACAUUUAGAUUUACAUUAUAAAGGAUAAGUACUUUUACAAUAAGCACUACAGUAACAGCGGACACUUUAUUCAGAUAGUCGUUGAUGUGUCCCGUAAAAAAGAGAGGCGAGGAAUCGGGAAUACCAACCGGUCAAACCUGUUCACACUCAAAAGUCUAAAAAUAAAAACUACUAAAACGCAAAUUAUAGCUAGAAAAAGUAUGAAAAGGAUAAACAGACAAAACAACAGUUCACUAGACAAAUGCUAGACUAUAGUAAUCAGUUCAUAAAACUAAUUUUUUGAAAAAAUUGAGAAUGGAAAUGGGGAAUGUGUCAAAGAGACAACAACCCACCCAUAGAACAAACAACAGUCAAAGGUCACCAAUAGAUCUUCAAUGCAGCAAGAAACUCCUGCAUAUGUUUACCUUGUUGAACUGUAUCCAUUUAAAAAAAUACCAAGUAAACAAAUAAAUCUGUGACAAUACUGGUUCUAUUGGUCAUGUUGGUACAAAGUUGAUUAAUGCUCCAAAUAUAUCAGAGUAUUAUUCUUCUUCUUCUUCCAAAUCUUCACAUCCUUUGUAGGACAACCACACCGUUAAGGCAUGUAAAACAAAACCCACCACCAUACAAGUAGGAAUAUAUUUACACUAUAAUUUGAAUAAUUCCAUCCUCCACCGCUAUAUACAGGAUCACUUUUGUAGUUUCACAUAUAUCUUGUUGUAUGUAUUCUUAGUUGCGUUUAAAAUUGUUAGGCUAGUUACCGGACAUAUAUACAAUGGGAUUAUAUAUGUUUACGUAGUAAAAUAGUUCAUUCUUAAGAGACAAUGUAGUAAAAUAGUUCAUUCUUAAAAGACAAUGUUGUAAAAUAAGUUGCUACACUCAAGUUCGCAC
rnacentral:lncRNA from 1 species